rnacentral:tRNA from 1 species
GGUAGGAUGGCUGAGAGUUAAGUGGCGGAUUGUAGCCCCGUGUACAGAGGUUAGAGUCCUCUUUCUACCA